GCUGGGUAGAAUGGCUCAUACCUGUACUGCCAGCUACUCAGGAGGCUGACACAGGAGGAUAACUUGAAACCAGAAGUUCAGGGCCAGCUUGGGCAGCAUAGCAAGACCCUGUCUCAA
rnacentral:sRNA from 1 species